rnacentral:rRNA from 1 species
AUUGAACGCUGGCGGCAUGCCUAACACAUUCAAGUCGAACGAGUGGCGGACGGGUGAGUAAUGCCUGGGAAACUGCCUGACGGAAGCGGAUAACUACUGGAAACGGUAGCUAAUACCACAUACCACCGGUUGUGCCCAGAUGGGAUUAGCUAGUAGGUGGGGUAACGCCUCACCUAGGCGACGAUCCCUAGCUGGUCUGAGAGGAUGACCAGCCACACUGGAACGGAGACACGGUCCAGACUACUACGGUAGGCAGCAGUGGGGAAUAUUGCACAAUGGGCGCAAGCCUGAUGCAGACAUGCCGCGUGUAUGAAGAAGGCCUUCGGGUUGUAAAGUACUUUCAGCGGGGAGGCGUUACCCGCAGAAGAAGCAACGGCUAACUCCGUGCCAGCAGCCGCGGUAAUAC